AACAAAAUAAAAAAAGGUCUCUGGACCAUUCCUCCCAUUCCAUCCAUGUUCCAUACCGCUCAUCAGUCCCUACAGGAUUGCGUGGAGUUUUUGGUGAUUUUGCUGCAGCUUUUUUCAAAAUUUGCAAUGUAAUUUGCAGAGUUUUUUGGGCUUUGUUUCCGGAAAACUACUUGAAUUGGCAAAAUUGCAAUUGCAUGUUCUUUCACAGAUGAUGGGUGUUGGUAAAUUAGACCUUUCAGCUGUACUCAUGCUCGACACAACUGAAUCAAAGAGGGCUUGGGUUCAUGCGCAUCGUGAAGACAUCACAUGACACAUCUUGGCCCAAAUCUGUGCAAAAUCUGCAGUAAUUUUGAAAAAACGGUUAUGGGGAGCCUGGAGUCUAUCCCAGGGGACCGGGGCACAAGGCGGGGGACACCCUGGACAGGGUACCAACCCAUAGCUGGGCACAAUCGCACACACAUUCACACACUAUGGACAAUUUGGAAAUGCCAUUCAGUCUACAAUGCAUGUCUUUGGACUGGGGACUGGAGGAGGAAACCAGAGUACCUGGAGGGAGCUCCAAAAAGCAUGGGGAGAACACGCAAACUCUGCACACACAGGGUGGAGACUGGAUUCCAACCCCAAACCAGGUUUAACAUGGUUUUGCGCACAAAGCAUCCACACAUCUUCCCACAUCUGGCACUGAAGAUGUUGUCCAAGUAAACAGAUGAUAUUAUAAGACCUCCUACCAUAAGAAGAGAAGGUCACAAUGACUCUCCAAGGAUCCUGAGUUCGAGUUACUAUCUCCAGGUUCUCUGGUUUCUUAGCAUUCCACAAAAACAUGCCAGUAGGUGGAAUGCCAAUACUUAAUAGCCCUUGGGUGUGAACGAGUGUGUGAAUGUAUGUGCAUGGUGCCCUGCACUGGACUGGCAUCCCAACCAAAAGGCUCAGGAUCCACCAGCACCGUUACCAGGAUAAAGUGCUUGCUGGAGAGAACCUUGAAACAGAGGGAACCUUAACCAAAUGUUCUUAAGACAUCCUUCCUGCUUUAAUUCUGUGUAUUCUCUAAACAAAGGUGUUCAAAUCAAUACUCGUUGUGUAUCUACACGUUUGUAGACACAAA